rnacentral:rRNA from 1 species
UACAGAGAGUGCGAACGUUUUUCGGAAUUACUGGGCUUAAAGCGCACGUAGGCGGCGCCGCAAGUGUGGAGUGAAAUCCCACGGCUUACCCGUGGAACUGCUUGGCAGACUGCGGUGCUAGAGGAUGGUAGGGGAGAGCGGAACUCCUGGUGGAGCGGUGAAAUGCGUAGAUAUCAGGAGGAACACCGGUGGCGAAGGCGGCUCUCUGGUCCAUUACUGACGCUGAGGUGCGAAAGCUAGGGGAGCAAACAGG